AAGAAAAUUUGCUCUGCUAAUGGGGUAUGUUCCGAGGUUCCUUUGGGGGUCGUAUAGACUCUCCCACCCAACUCCUAUUCUGUCUCGUCGUGCAGAGUGGUUAUUUGUCCCACCGCAUAUCCAAGCUAGGGUACACGGUUUAUUCCCAAUCUCUUGGGCGGAUGGUAGAGCAUCGCUAAUCAGGUGAGG
rnacentral:ribozyme from 1 species